CCUACGGGGGGCAGCAGUGGGGAAUAUUGGACAAUGGGCGAAAGCCUGAUCCAGCCAUGCCGCGUGUGUGAAGAAGGCCUUCGGGUUGUAAAGCACUUUCAGUGGGGAAGAAAGCCUUGGGGCUAAUACCCUCGAGGAAGGACAUCACCCACAGAAGAAGCACCGGCUAACUCCGUGCCAGCAGCCGCGGUAAUACGGAGGGUGCGAGCGUUAAUCGGAAUUACUGGGCGUAAAGCGCGCGUAGGCGGUCUGAUAAGCCGGGUGUGAAAGCCCCGGGCUCAACCUGGGAACGGCAUCCGGAACUGUCAGGCUAGAGUGCAGGAGAGGAAGGUAGAAUUCCCGGUGUAGCGGUGAAAUGCGUAGAGAUCGGGAGGAAUACCAGUGGCGAAGGCGGCCUUCUGGACUGACACUGACGCUGAGGUGCGAAAGCGUGGGUAGCAAACAGGAUUAGAUACCCGGGUAGUC
rnacentral:rRNA from 1 species